UGGGGGCUGCUAUACUGCAGUCGACGAACUUUCUUACACCGAAUGCUUGCAUUCACCGUAAGAAGUUGAGUGGCGGACGGGUGAGUAACACGUGGGUAACCUGCCUAAAAGAAGGGGAUAACACUUGGAAACAGGUGCUAAUACCGUAUAUCUCUAAGGAUCGCAUGAUCCUUAGAUGAAAGAUGGUUCUGCUAUCGCUUUUAGAUGGACCCGCGGCGUAUUAACUAGUUGGUGGGGUAACGGCCUACCAAGGUGAUGAUACGUAGCCGAACUGAGAGGUUGAUCGGCCACAUUGGGACUGAGACACGGCCCAAACUCCUACGGGAGGCAGCAGUAGGGAAUCUUCCACAAUGGACGCAAGUCUGAUGGAGCAACGCCGCGUGAGUGAAGAAGGUCUUCGGAUCGUAAAACUCUGUUGUUAGAGAAGAACACGAGUGAGAGUAACUGUUCAUUCGAUGACGGUAUCUAACCAGCAAGUCACGGCUAACUACGUGCCAGCAGCCGCGGUAAUACGUAGGUGGCAAGCGUUGUCCGGAUUUAUUGGGCGUAAAGGGAACGCAGGCGGUCUUUUAAGUCUGAUGUGAAAGCCUUCGGCUUAACCGGAGUAGUGCAUUGGAAACUGGAAGACUUGAGUGCAGAAGAGGAGAGUGGAACUCCAUGUGUAGCGGUGAAAUGCGUAGAUAUAUGGAAGAACACCAGUGGCGAAAGCGGCUCUCUGGUCUGUAACUGACGCUGAGGUUCGAAAGCGUGGGUAGCAAACAGGAUUAGAUACCCUGGUAGUCCACGCCGUAAACGAUGAAUGCUAGGUGGUUGGAGGGUUUCCGCCCUUCAGUGCCGCAGCUAACGCAAUAAGCAUUCCGCCUGGGGAGUACGACCGCAAGGUUGAAACUCAAAGGAAUUGACGGGGGCCCGCACAAGCGGUGGAGCAUGUGGUUAAUUCGAAGCACGCGAAGAACCUUACCAGGUC
rnacentral:rRNA from 1 species